ACAACUCUAGACACAAAUUAAAAUAAUACAAGCUUUAUAUUACAAGCCAGGGGCCUCGAGGGCUCGAAUACAUAAGCUCGAAUACACAAGAGUCAGCGGAAGCAACAAUAUCUGAGUACAGACAUGAGUUAGACAAGUUUGCCUUAAGAAGGCUAGCACAAAAGCAUCUACGAUCGAAAAGGCAAGGCCUCCUGCCUGGGAGCCUCCUAACUACUCCUGACCGUCGGCGGUCUCCACGUAGUAGGAAGCACCCUCGGGGUAGUAGUAGUCAUCGGUGGUGUCGUCUAGAUCCUGGGCUCCACCAUCUGGUUGCAUCAACCGGAAAGAAGAAGAAAGGGGGAAAAAGGGGAAGCAAAGCAACCGUGAGUACUCAUCCAAAGUGCUCGCAAGCAAGGAUCUACACUACAUAUGCAUCGGUAUCAAUGAAAAUGGGUGUAUCUGUGGACUGGACUGCAGAAUGCCAGAAGAGAAGGGGAAAGCCUAGCCUAUCGAAGACUAGCAUCUUCUGGAAACCACCAUCUUGCAGCAACCGGAGGGAGUAGAGUAGCAUAAAGUAAAGUAGUAGAGGUGUUAUCAACCUUGGCCAGAGAUCCUUUCUCGACUCCCUGCGAGAAAGCAAUCCCAGAGCCAUACUAUCCAGUUCCAAUCAUAAUCCAAUUCUCAUAUCCAUGUCUCAUCUCAAGUAUCCAGUUCUAGUUGUAUCGAUCGGGAUACAACUCCAAGUGUCCGUUACCAUAGGACAGGCUAUCGAUAGAUGUUUUCUUCCCUGCAGGGGUGCACCAACUUACCCACCACACUCGAUUAACUCCGGUCGGACACACUUUCCUGGGUCAUGCCCGGCCUCGGCCAAACAAUAAGCCGCAACCCGACCUAGGCUUAAUAGAGAGGUCAGCACGCCGGACUAAACCUAUGCCCCCAGGGGUCAUGGGCCAUCUCCCCGGGAACUCCUGCACGUUGCGUACGCGGCCGGUGAGCAGACCUAGAUACCUCCUUCAAAAAGGCAGGUGCUUAUGCAGUCCAACCCGGCGCGCGCCGCUCAGUCGCUGACGUCUAUUAAGCUUCGGCUGAUGCAUACGACGCAGAACGCCCAUACUAUGCCCACGUGAUGGUUAGUGCUAUCAGGCCAGAGGCCCCUUGGAUCAAAUAUCCUAAUCGUAGUGGAUUAGGAGCACGCGGUAACAAGCAGAGACUCACGAAAGAUGUGACCCCGUUGCCCCGGCUCGAGGACUUGCGGCAAGGGCUAGGAAUGCCCGGCCACGCCUCGUAAUUAUCUCGCGGGCACCCUCCAAGUCAACCCGUCUCCACAUCACUCGCAAUUAAGCUCGCGCGGGUACCCCUCAGGGCCGACCCGUCUUUAGUAACAUGGUUCAGUGUAAAGUCAUAGUAACCAUAGUAACUGUGUGUCUAACACCAAGGGGAAAACCUGAGGAAUCACCCUUGACGGAUUCCCCUCGAUGUAAUCAUCAAGGUGAACGUAAGAGGAACCACCCUCGAAGUUCACACUUGAGGGGUUGCACGACAGAGUCGUAUCGGAAGUGGUUAAGGCGGAAUCACCCUCGAUGACCACGACCGAAUAGUUACACUACAGGGUAACAUCAGAAGUGCUGUAGAGGUCUCACCCUCGGCACUCGAUAGUAACCCAGUAGUGUCGAGCAACUAAGGGGAAAGUGAUGUGCGGUGCCGGGGCCUGGUCUUCGAUCCCGUUGAUCGGGUCUUCGAUGAUGAAGCAGGGGCAACAGGGACAAGGUGGGGGUCACUGAUGGAUCACUAACCAACCUAUACUAAGCAGGUAAGGUAUGAAAGCAGGUACAAAAGCAGGCUAUGCAUCAAAAUAGGAGCAAACAAUAACAGUAGCAAAAUCUAAUGCAAGCAUGAGAGAAUGGAAUGGGCGAUAUUGGGAUGAUCAAAGGGGGGGCUUGCCUGGUUGCUUUGGCAAGAAGGAGAGGCGUCGUCGAUGUAGUCGAUCACGGGGGUAUCGGCAGCGGUCUCGGGGUCUACCGGAAAGAAGUAACAGAGGGAGAACACAAUAAAUAAUAGAGCAAUCAAAGCGUCACAAAGCAGAACAUGGCAAUACGCCGUGCUAGGGGUGACCUAACGCAGUAGGAGGUGACACCGACAAAUCGGGGAAACAUCCGAGGAAGUAUUCCCGGUGUUUCGCGUUUUCGGACAAAUGAAACGGAGGUGGAAUGUUGCAUGUUCUCUAUGCUAGGGACGUGUGGCGGAAGAAGGGGCUGCGUAUUCGGAUUCGCCUCGCCGUUCUGAGCAACUUUCAUAUAUAAAACUUUUUCAUCCGAGAUACGGUUUAUUAUCUAUUAUUUUCUAAAGUUUUAACCAUUUUCUGGAAUUUAUUUAAUUCAAGAAUAAGUAUCUAAAUACUUUUGUCACAUGGGGCUGUGUAGCAAGGGGGUAUGACAGUGGGGCCGGUGGGUCCAGUCAGCAGUAGUUGACCAGUCAAAGUUGACUGGUCAACUGGGUCAAUGGACCCACAUGUAAGUGUAACAUGUGUUAAAAUUAUUUAGUUAAACAAUUUACCUAGUGGGGACCACAUGUAAUAGACGUGGGGUGGCUAGUACUAAAGAGGGAUUAGUCCCUAAUUGAUUUUUGGGCGGGCUUGGUGGCAAAGUGAGGUUGUGCACCACACGCACAUAGCAUGGCCUCGGCCAUGGCCAUUUUUAGCGGCUACAGCAGCAGCUAAGUAGCGGCAGCAUGAGGUAGUAGCACCGGCAAGCAAGCAAUACCAGCAGCAGCGCGCGGCAGGCAACAGCAAAGCAGCGGAGCGACAGAAACAAUUAGCGACGGCCGGGCAGCAGCGCAGCAGCAAGCAGCACCGGCAUGAGCAGCAGCAGCCGCAUCAGGGCAGCACAGCAGCAGGCACGUGGGGAGGGCGUGGGCACACGCGAGGACCAAGGGUGCGGCGCGGGCGCGUGUGGCCGGCGGAUGCGCGGCCAUGAGCUAGAGAGCUCGUACGCGGACGCAAAGCUACGGCCAUGGCGACUACAACGAGCACAAGGCGAAGGCUACGACUACGGAUCGAAGGGGAAAACGAGGGGAAAUGGUCGAGGAGCUCACCCCGGGGCUUGUGGACAGCUCGGUUGCCGCGGGGACGGAUCGGAGCAGCGACAACCGUCGACGAGAUGUGGCGGCCGUGGGCGAAGACGACAGCGAUGGCGAGCGUACGGAGCGUCUCGGCUCGGGUUCCUCGGUGGAGAGGAAGGAGACGACCGCGAGGAGGCUGCUGGAUGUCUCCUUAGGUGCCGGGGAGGUCGGUGGCCACCGGAUCGACGAGGCGGCGGCGAUGGUGGCGGCGGGCGGCUUCUGUAACGGGAGAGGGAGAGCGGGGAAAGGGGGAGAAGAAGCUAGGGUUCGAGGAGGGGCACGGGGCGACGCCUUAUCGUCCUAGGAAGCCGUGGGAUCGUCGGCACGUCGUCCAGGGGGCGCGGCCAUGGC
rnacentral:lncRNA from 1 species